rnacentral:rRNA from 1 species
UACGUAGGGUGCAAGCGUUGUCCGGAAUUAUUGGGCGUAAAGAGCUCGUAGGCGGUUUGUCGCGUCUGCUGUGAAAACUCAGGGCUUAACCCUGAGCCUGCAGUGGGUACGGGCAGACUAGAGUGUGGUAAGGGAGAUCGGAAUUCCUGGUGUAGCGGUGGAAUGCGCAGAUAUCAGGAGGAACACCGGUGGCGAAGGCGGUUCUCUGGGCCUUACCUGACGCUGAGGAGCGAAAGCGUGGGGAGCGAACAGG